UACGUAGGGUGCAAGCGUUGUCCGGAAUUAUUGGGCGUAAAGAGCUCGUAGGCGGUCUGUCGCGUCGGCUGUGAAAUCCCGAGGCUCAACCUCGGGUCUGCAGUCGAUACGGGCAAACUAGAGUAUUGCAGGGGAGACUGGAAUUCCUGGUGUAGCGGUGAAAUGCGCAGAUAUCAGGAGGAACACCGAUGGCGAAGGCAGGUCACUGGGCCGCAACUGACGCUGAGGAGCGAAAGCAUGGGGAGCGAACAGG
rnacentral:rRNA from 1 species